rnacentral:rRNA from 1 species
GAUGAACGCUGGCGGCGUGCCUAAUACAUGCAAGUCGAGCGAACGGACGAGAAGCUUGCUUCUCUGAUGUUAGCGGCGGACGGGUGAGUAACACGUGGAUAACCUACCUAUAAGACUGGUAUAACUUCGGGAAACCGGAGCUAAUACCGGAUAAUAUUUUGAACCGCAUGGUUCAAAAGUGAAAGACGGUCUUGCUGUCACUUAUAGAUGGAUCCGCGCUGCAUUAGCUAGUUGGUAAGUUAACGGCUUACCAAGGCAACGAUGCAUAGCCGACCUGAGAGGGUGAUCGGCCACACUGGAACUGAGACACGGUCCAGACUACUACGGGAGGCAGCAGUAGGGAAUCUUCCGCAAUGGGCGAAAGCCUGACGGAGCAACGCCGAGUGAGUGAUGAAGGUCUUCGGAUCGUAAAACUCUGUUAUUAGGGAAGAACAUAUGUGUAAGUAACUGUGCACAUCUUGACGGUACCUAAUCAGAAAGCCACGGCUAACUACGUG